GGUAAGGGAAAUAGCUCAGUGGUAGAGCAUCUGCUUGGCGUGCAGAAGGUCACAGGUUAAAUCGCUGGCACUUCUAGGUCA